UUGAUAAGGAUGAUCAAAUGGAAGAAGCAAGAAGACUUUGCUAUGUUGGUAUAACUAGAGCUGAAGAAAAAUUAUAUAUGACUUCAGCA
rnacentral:sRNA from 1 species